rnacentral:lncRNA from 1 species
GAUAAUUUUGAGAUAAUUUUGGGGAUAAUAAAUUAGGACAAAUUUUUAGGGAUUUAGGGAUAAAUAAUUAGGGAUAUGGGAUAUAAUACUUGGGUUUAUAUAAUUACCUUUUUAAUUUAUUUUCUAAAAUAAACUAAUAAUUAUAUUUUUGCAAAUAAUUAAAUGGGAUAUUUUUAGGGAUAAUAUGAGAUAAAUUUUUAGGACUUUUAAUCGGGAUGAGAGAUAGGAUAUUU